GGUAUGUUUGCAGGUUUGUUACAUGGGUAUAUUGCAAGAUGCCGAGGUUCGAGGUAGGAAAGAUCCCAACAACCAGUUUCAAGGGCCCUAGCCUCAGAAAACUGCAUCAAUGUCUUCUGAACGGCCAUCAAGCUCAAAGCCCUGCUCGUUUCUUCAGGAAAGCUUAUUAACAAAUACAUUCAGCACAGCUUGCAGGAAGCAGCAAGUUUCAUGUAGAGUACCACGGCGUCAUCAUGCAAGUGUCUGUCUGAGCAUGGCCAGUAAGAGAACUGGUGGUUUCGGUCCAUGAAAGAGCUGGGGUUCCUGGAAGUUUUUGGAAUGCCUGGCCACGACAUUGGUUGGAGUCUGACUGGGCCCCAUGCAGAAAAUGCCACACUCUGCUGAGCUGACAUCUUUGUGUUCUGCUAGGAGGCCCAGGAAUUCAUAAAAGAAAAGAACUAAGGCACUUGAAAAUUUCGAAGGUAAAACUGUCACCCGUGCAAAUCAAAUCAAAAUUAAUAAUGUUUUUCUGACUCAAUGCAAAAGGCGAAAACACCAAUUUAGUUGUUGCUGCGGCUGCUUUUCAUGCAGUGCUUUAGAGUUACAGAUCCCACAUGUGGUUGAAAACCGGUUACUUUCCUGUUGGCUUAAACUCAAAGGCAUUUGUAUGUGUGCUAAAAACAUUUCUUACUAUGCA